rnacentral:rRNA from 1 species
AACGAACGCUGGCGGCAUGCCUAACACAUGCAAGUCGAACGAAGGCUUCGGCCUUAGUGGCGCACGGGUGCGUAACGCGUGGGAAUCUGCCCUUUGGUUCGGAAUAACAGCUGGAAACGGCUGCUAAUACCGUAUGAUGACGAAAGUCCAAAGAUUUAUCGCCAGAGGAUGAGCCCGCGUUGGAUUAGGUAGUUGGUGGGGUAAAGGCCUACCAAGCCGACGAUCCAUAGCUGGUCUGAGAGGAUGAUCAGCCACACUGGGACUGAGACACGGCCCAGACUCCUACGGGAGGCAGCAGUGGGGAAUAUUGGACAAUGGGCGCAAGCCUGAUCCAGCAAUGCCGCGUGAGUGAUGAAGGCCCUAGGGUUGUAAAGCUCUUUUACCCGGGAAGAUAAUGACUGUACCGGGAGAAUAAGCCCCGGCUAACUCCGUG